GUGGGGAAUUUUGGACAAUGGGCGCAAGCCUGAUCCAGCAAUGCCGCGUGCAGGAAGAAGGCCUUCGGGUUGUAAACUGCUUUUGUACGGAACGAAACGGUCCGGGUUAAUACCCUGGGCUAAUGACGGUACCGUAAGAAUAAGCACCGGCUAACUACGUGCCAGCAGCCGCGGUAAUACGUAGGGUGCAAGCGUUAAUCGGAAUUACUGGGCGUAAAGCGUGCGCAGGCGGUUUUGUAAGACAGGCGUGAAAUCCCCGGGCUCAACCUGGGAAUUGCGCUUGUGACUGCAAGGCUAGAGUGUGUCAGAGGGAGGUGGAAUUCCGCGUGUAGCAGUGAAAUGCGUAGAGAUGCGGAGGAACACCGAUGGCGAAGGCAGCCUCCUGGGAUAACACUGACGCUCAGGCACGAAAGCGUGGGGAGCAAACAGGAUUAGAUACCCUAGUAGUCC
rnacentral:rRNA from 1 species